AGGUGCAAGGAAACACACCUCUAUUAGGAUGGGGUCAGAGUGACUUCAGCAGGAUGUCAAUAUGCAACCAGAUCUCAGAGAUCCCAAUGCUACCUACCACUGGGACAGACAGACAUCAUCCAGACAGUGACAGCAAUAUUGUACGAGAUGUCCAAUUGUGAAAGACUCAGCUAUUCUGAUCAAGACAAUGAUCCAAGACAAUUUCAAAGGACCCAUCAUGGAAAGUGCUAUCCUCCUCCA